rnacentral:rRNA from 1 species
CCUACGGGAGGCAGCAGUGAGGAAUAUUGGUCAAUGGACGAGAGUCUGAACCAGCCAAGUAGCGUGAAGGAUGACUGCCCUACGGGUUGUAAACUUCUUUUAUAUAGGAAUAAAAUGAUCCACGUGUGGGAUUUUGUAUGUACCAUAUGAAUAAGGAUCGGCUAACUCCGUGCCAGCAGCCGCGGUAAUACGGAGGAUCCGAGCGUUAUCCGGAUUUAUUGGGUUUAAAGGGAGCGUAGAUGGGUUGUUAAGUCAGUUGUGAAAGUUUGCGGCUCAACCGUAAAAUUGCAGUUGAAACUGGCAGUCUUGAGUACAGUAGAGGUAGGCGGAAUUCGUGGUGUAGCGGUGAAAUGCUUAGAUAUCACGAAGAACUCCGAUUGCGAAGGCAGUUCACUGGACUGCAACUGACACUGAGGCUCGAAAGUGUGGGUAUCAAACAGGAUUAGAUACCCUUGUAGUC